rfam:Cephalotus follicularis DNA, scaffold: scaffold698, isolate: St1.
AAACCAUGAUGAGGACAUUCUAAAAGAAGAUCUUUAAAACGCUCCAUACAUCUAGAAAGGGAUUAAUGGGGUCACUGGCAAAACUGGAGAAUGUCGUUCCUAAGCUU